GUGGGGAAUUUUGGACAAUGGGCGCAAGCCUGAUCCAGCAAUGCCGCGUGCAGGAAGAAGGCCUUCGGGUUGUGAACUGCUUUUGUACGGAACGAAACGGUCCGAGUUAAUACCCUGGGCUAAUGACGGUACCGUAAGAAUAAGCACCGGCUAACUACGUGCCAGCAGCCGCGGUAAUACGUAGGGUGCAAGCGUUAAUCGGAAUUACUGGGCGUAAAGCGUGCGCAGGCGGUUUUGUAAGACAGGUGUGAAAUCCCCGGGCUCAACCUGGGAAUUGCGCUUGUGACUGCAAGGCUGGAGUGCGGCAGAGGGGGAUGGAAUUCCGCGUGUAGCAGUGAAAUGCGUAGAUAUGCGGAGGAACACCGAUGGCGAAGGCAAUCCCCUGGGCCUGCACUGACGCUCAUGCACGAAAGCGUGGGGAGCAAACAGGAUUAGAAACCCUUGUAGUCC
rnacentral:rRNA from 1 species